UCCCUAUUGGCUCAGAUGGUAAAGAGUCUGCCUGCAAUGCGGGAUACCUGGGUUCGAUCUCCAGAUCGGGAA
rnacentral:tRNA from 1 species